rnacentral:rRNA from 1 species
AAUGGGGGAAACCCUGACGCAGCAACGCCGCGUGUGUGAUGAAGGCCUUCGGGUCGUAAAGCACUGUGAGGUGGAACGAGCCGCCGGGGGUUAAUACCCUUCGGCCCGACGGUACCACCAGAGGAAGCACCGGCUAACCCUGUGCCAGCAGCCGCGGUAAUACAGGGGGUGCAAGCGUUGUUCGGAAUUAUUGGGCGUAAAGCGCGUGUAGGCGGACCAUUAAGUCUGGUGUGAAAUCCCUCGGCUUAACCGAGGACGUGCAUUGGAUACUGGUGGUCUUGAGUCCUGGAGAGGGUAGCGGAAUUCCCAGUGUAGAGGUGAAAUUCGUAGAUAUUGGGAGGAACACCGGUGGCGAAGGCGGCUACCUGGACAGUGACUGACGCUGAGACGCGAAAGCAUGGGUAGCAAA